rfam:Brassica napus, WGS project CCCW01000000 data, contig: 30072
GGAAUAUAAGAACUCGUCUCUUAACUUUUAACUAAAAAAACUAAGAACCGACUCUUAAAUAAGAUCUUUAAGAACCGGUUCUUAGCUUUUUUAGUUAAAAGUUAAGAAACCGAUUCUUAUAUUCC